rnacentral:rRNA from 1 species
GUCGAACGGCAGCAUAGGAGCUUGCUCCUGAUGGCGAGUGGCGAACGGGUGAGUAAUAUAUCGGAACGUGCCCUAGAGUGGGGGAUAACUAGUCGAAAGACUAGCUAAUACCGCAUACGAUCUACGGAUGAAAGUGGGGGAUCGCAAGACCUCAUGCUCCUGGAGCGGCCGAUAUCUGAUUAGCUAGUUGGUGGGGUAAAAGCUCACCAAGGCGACGAUCAGUAGCUGGUCUGAGAGGACGACCAGCCACACUGGGACUGAGACACGGCCCAGACUCCUACGGGAGGCAGCAGUGGGGAAUUUUGGACAAUGGGGGCAACCCUGAUCCAGCAAUGCCGCGUGAGUGAAGAAGGCCUUCGGGUUGUAAAGCUCUUUUGUCAGGGAAGAAACGGUUCUGGAUAAUACCUGGAGCUAAUGACGGUACCUGAAGAAUAAGCACCGGCUAACUACGUGCCAGCAGCCGCGGUAAUACGUAGGGUGCAAGCGUUAAUCGGAAUUACUGGGCGUAAAGCGUGCGCAGGCGGUUGUGUAAGUCAGAUGUGAAAUCCCCGGGCUCAACCUGGGAAUUGCAUUUGAGACUGCACGGCUAGAGUGUGUC